CUCUGAACCGACUUAUUUCAUCUUUUCGGUGCCUAAACUUAACUUUCGUCUCCUCAUAACGCUCACUCUUUCUUUCCUAAACCGUAAUCUCCGCUCACAGUCACCUGUUCUCAGGUAACUGAACCACACUGAUACACCGAGCUGUGAUGGGGGUCUGGGGACCGAGCUGUGAUGGAGGUCUGUAGACCGAGCUGUGAUGGAGGUCUGGGGACCGAGCUGUGAUGGAGGUCUGUGGACCGAGCUGUGAUGGAGGUCUCAAAGCUCUGCAGCUGAUGUCAUGUGACCAGCCGGCCUUCUCCUAGUUCUCUUAUGACAUCAUGUGAACCUGUUAAUGAGAAUGGGUUGAACCAACAGAGGAUUGUUCUCUAAGGGUUAAAUGUCAACUUAAAGCUGAUGAUAUAUGUGUGAAUGAUGUGUUCACUAAAAAUAAAAACGUCACUUAGUGCAGCUA